rnacentral:lncRNA from 10 species
GAGACCUUUGACAUCAUGCAGCCUUUCAGGGGGCUCACACAUACCCGCCCACUUCUCCCCACCUGGCCUCGGCGCCCUGCCGCCUUCCUAUUGUUCCUGCUUGGCGUCAGGACCCGCCCCCAUCUGUCACUCACUGCCCACCGGUCCUCCAUUGGCUCCUUUGAACACGGAAGGGCCCACCUUCACCUGUCAUUUACAGCCUGGACUUCUGCCUGCCCUAGUUCAAGUAGGCUUAUAUGGCCUUUUGCAGCCCGUAUCAAAACUAAAAGAGUUCAUAGAGUCAGAGGUUCGAGGUAAAACCUAAGGGACAUUGGUUUUAGACGACUUAACAAAGGGCUGGAUUGGAAGUCAGCCCGGAACAGGAUUGCAGAGUUAACAAAGGUUCAUGUUCGAUACAAAACGGGAACUCUGAUGGUUACAAUAGUUAAGAAAGUCCUAGGAUUCAAGACCUCUAUCAGGGUGUAUGGAUGGAGAAAACAUUAACAAAUAUCCUGCUUGAAGAUCAAAUCAGAGGGGCACUGGUGGUGCAAUAGUAACCCAAUUCCAAAGUUAUUUCAGAGAGGCCUUAAAUGGAAGGUUAACUUAGACCCAAAUCUGAGCCAAGACCAGAGACCCAUUAAAGUCACGUGAUGUGGUUAACAGAGCCCCGGAAUUCACAGCCUAUACCAAAGGGGUAAUGAUGGUGGAAGAAUUAAUCAAGGUCUGACUUCAAAGUCAAACCAAAUGGCAUUCAUGAUAAAAAUGUUAACUGAGGGCUGGGCACAGUGGCUAACACUUGCAAUCUCAGAACUUUGGGAGGCCAAGGCGGGAGGAUCACUUGAGGCCAGGAGUUAGAGACCAGCCUGGCCAACAUGGCA